UGAAAGGAUUUUUUUAAAUCUACAUAUCAGAUAUUUUAUAAAUUACU
rfam:Caprimulgus carolinensis contig58940, whole genome shotgun sequence.